rnacentral:rRNA from 1 species
ACGAACGCUGGCGGCGUGCCUAAUACAUGCAAGUCGAACGCUUCUUUUUCCACCGGAGCUUGCUCCACCGGAAAAAGAGGAGUGGCGAACGGGUGAGUAACACGUGGGUAACCUGCCCAUCAGAAGGGGAUAACACUUGGAAACAGGUGCUAAUACCGUAUAACAAUCGAAACCGCAUGGUUUUGAUUUGAAAGGCGCUUUCGGGUGUCGCUGAUGGAUGGACCCGCGGUGCAUUAGCUAGUUGGUGAGGUAACGGCUCACCAAGGCGACGAUGCAUAGCCGACCUGAGAGGGUGAUCGGCCACAUUGGGACUGAGACACGGCCCAAACUCCUACGGGAGGCAGCAGUAGGGAAUCUUCGGCAAUGGACGAAAGUCUGACCGAGCAACGCCGCGUGAGUGAAGAAGGUUUUCGGAUCG